rnacentral:rRNA from 1 species
UGGGGAAUAUUGCACAAUGGGCGAAAGCCUGAUGCAGCAACGCCGCGUGAGUGAUGAAGGUCUUCGGAUUGUAAAGCUCUGUCUUUUGGGACGAUAAUGACGGUACCAAAGGAGGAAGCCACGGCUAACUACGUGCCAGCAGCCGCGGUAAUACGUAGGUGGCGAGCGUUGUCCGGAUUUACUGGGCGUAAAGGGUGCGUAGGCGGAUGUUUAAGUGAGAUGUGAAAUACCCGGGCUUAACUUGGGUGCUGCAUUUCAAACUGGAUAUCUAGAGUGCAGGAGAGGAGAAUGGAAUUCCUAGUGUAGCGGUGAAAUGCGUAGAGAUUAGGAAGAACGCCAGUGGCGAAGGCGAUUCUCUGGACUGUAACUGACGCUGAGGCACGAAAGCGUGGGUAGCAAACAGGAUUAGAUACCCUGGUAGUCCACGCCGUAAACGAUGAGUACUAGGUGUAGGAGGUAUCGACCCCUUCUGUGCCGCAGUAAACACAUUAAGUACUCCGCCUGGGAAGUACGAUCGCAAGAUUAAAAC